AGCACAGCUCGUUGACAGUGGGACCUUCGCAGUCCCAUUUCACAGCUGAGCAAAUGGAGGGAGGUUUCCAGGCCACAGAAGAAGAAGAAGAAGAAGAAGAAGAAGAAGAAGAAGAAGGAGCUUCCUGAUAGCCAUGUGGAGAUUUGCUCUUCUGCCUACAGUUUAAAUGGACCCUAUCGAUGAUUUCCUGCCAGGCUACGUUUCAUUUUCUCUGCAUGUUCCUUUUGGUGGGUGGAGGAAAAAAAUGUGUGAGAAUCAUCCUCCAAAUAAAGCAAUCUAUGAGCCUGG